rnacentral:lncRNA from 1 species
CUGUGAGUUUUCAAAACACGAGGCUUUCAGAAAUCAUCAGAAGCGACUCAGACUCGCCGUUUAAGUGUCGAACCAGCAGGUUAGUCUUUUGAAUCAAACAUGGUUCUUUUAUUUCUCUGAGAGUGCGGCUGAAAGCUGCAGAAACUGGAGACUUCCACUCAGUGCCAAACUGAGACUGAUUUUCAACCCGAACAAAGACAGGGCCAACAAAAUCCCCUCAUUAGGCAAUCAGCUGAGCAGCAGGGGGACGGGGGGCCGGGGACAGCGCAGCAUUUGGCCGAGCUAAGAGGCAGAAAGAAAAGCCUCCCAGCAGCAACCAAAGCACGCUGCAGCUCUCUGAGAGCGAGCGGCGAAAAUAAGAGCGGCUUCCUCUGAGGACCGCAGACUUUUCUGCUCCGUCAGUCAUGCGGUUCCUUCAAGCCCACACCCUUCAAACAAGAAACAGCACUCAGCUCAGAAAAUGUGGAGCUUUCCAGGCCAGAAAAUCCGCCCUGGAUGUGAAAUCUGCACGGUUCUUUCAGACGAGAGGUUUGAAACUUAAAUACUGAGCGCUUCUGUCUUUGGAACGCAGAAAUAAAAAGGUUCAUUACUGACGGAAUCUAUAUUCCUUGAUUCAUCCCUCAGUGGGGAAAUUAAAAUCGUUGACAGUAGCAGUACACACAACAUACACAUUCACACCAGGUACAAAAACCAAUAAAUAAAGAUAAAGGUGAUAUAAAGGUGGUAAAAACCUCAGGAUUUACGGCGCGGCGUCGUAAAGCUGGUCCCAGUUCAGGGCUGUGUCUCACUUCCUACUGUCAUAAAUCUGACUCUUACUGCUGAAGGUUCCUUCGUUCCUCGGGUGCACGGGAGUCAAAGGUCAAUCUGCACAUGGGUCUACUCAAGAUGGGUCCUUGGUGGUCUUCUACAUCUCAAGAUUUGUGGCUAAGAGUGCUCUUAAACUCUGGCUGGUAGAAACACGGAAUCCUUCGCCGUCAUUCACAGUGUCUCACACAGUAAAAUUCAGGUAAGUGUUUUAUUUUUCAGGACAAAUCCAUGAAGGUACUCAAAAAAUGCUCCAGCGGUUAGAGCAUCAGGAGGGAGAUUUACGUUUGACUGGUCCCCCCCUCUUGGGAAAUGAUGGAGCGUCAUUACAGGUAAUAAGCAGUAAUCCCAGCGAUCAGUGCAGUAAUCUCACUCAUUUCCUGUGCUGUUCAAACUGGGGAGGAUCAUCGACAGCUUCAGUCGACCGUCUCAGACGUGACGAUACAUACACAUGAAAAAAAGAGAAAAAAAGACUCGAUAGUGCACCCUACAGUUUUCAUGCUCAGGGAGUUUCCUGCAUAACGUCCCAAACACUUGGUCAACCUCCACCAGAUUUUUUCAGACUAUACUAGGACAUUUUUAUCAUACUAUACAAUAUGUUGUAUUGUUUUCAUCCUUAAAUCAGAAAAAAAAAUUAUACUAAAAUUUGAAAUUUUGGUCAUAGUAUACUAUGACGUUUUUUUUCCAGACUCAGAUAAGAUUUUUUUUUUUCCUGGUAUAAUAUGACAUUUUUAACAUACUUUACUAUGGCAUUGUAAUCAGACUACACUAUUACAUGUUUUUUCAUCCUAAAAUCUGAAAUUUGUUUUUACACUAAAAUUUGAAAUUUUGGUCAUAGUAUACUAUGAUGUUAUUUUUCCAGACUCAAAUUAGAAUUUUUUUUAAAGCCUAAAAUGUGACAUUUUUGACAUACUUUACUACGGCAUUGUGAUCAGACUAUACUUUUGCAUGUUCUUUUAUCCUAAAAUCAGAAUUUUUUUUUACACUAAAAUUUGAAAUUUUGGUCAUAGUAUACUAUGACAUUUUUUUUCCAGACUCAGAUAAGAUUUUUUUUUUCCUGGUAAAAUAUGAUAUUUUUAACAUACUUUACCAUGGCAUUGUGAUCAGACUAUACUUUUGCAUGUUCUUUCAUCCUAAAAUCAGAAAUUUUUUUUUACACUAAAAUUCUCGAUUUUGGUUAUAGUAUACUAUGUCGUUUUUUUUCCAGACUCUGAUAGGAUUUUUUUUUUUCCUGGUAAAAUAUGACAUUUUUAACAUACUUUACUAUGGCAUUGUGAUCAGACUAUACUAUUACAUGUUUUUCAUCCUAAAAUCAGAAAUUUUUUUUACACUCAAAUUUGAACUUUUGGUCAUAGUAAACUAUGACGUUUUUUUUCCAGACUCAAAUUUGAAUUUUUUGUUUGCUGAUAAAAUAUGACAUUUUUAACAUCCUAUACUAUGGCAUUGUGAUCAGACUAUUCUUUUGCAUGUUCUUUUAUCCUAAAAUCAGAAAAAAAAAUUUACACUAAAAUUUGAAAUUUUGGUCAUAGUAUACUAUGACGUUUUUUUUCCAGACUCAAAUUUGAAUUAUUUGUUUGCUGAUAAAAUAUGACAUUUUUUACAUCCUAUACUAUGGCAUUGUGAUCAGACUAUACUUUUGCAUGUUCUUUUAUCCUAAAAUCAGAAAAAAGUUUUUACACUAAAAUUUGAACUUUUGGUCAUAGUAUUCUAUGACGUUUUUUUUCCAGAAUGAUAUUUGAAUUUUUUUAAAGGCUAAAAUGUGACAUUUUUAACAUACUUUACUAUGGCAUUGUAAUCAGACUAUACUGUUACAUGUUUUUUUAUCCUAAAAUCAGAAAUUUUUUAUUACACUAAAAUUCUCGAUUUUGGUCAUAGUAUACUAUGACGUUUUUUUUCCAGACUCAGAUAAGAUUUUUUUUUUUUCCUGGUAAAAUAUGACAUUUUUAACAUACUUUACUAUGGCAUUGUGAUCAGACUAUACUUUUGCAUGUUCUUUUAUCCUAAAAUCAGAAAUUUUUUUUUACACUAAAAUUUGAAUUUUUGGUCAUAGUAUACAAUGACGUUUUUUUUCCAGACUCAGAUAAGAUUUUUUUUUUUCCUGGUAAAAUAUGACAUUUUUAACAUACUUUACUAUGGCAUUGUGAUCAGACUAUACUAUUACAUGUUUUUUCAUCCUAAAAUCAGAAUUUUUUUUUUACACUAAAAUUUGAACUUUUGGUCAUAGUAAACUAUGACGUUUUUUUUCCAGACUCAGAUAUUAUUUUUUAUUUUCCUGGUAAAAAAUGACAUUUUUAACAUACUUUACUAUGGCAUUGUAAUCAGACUAUACUUUUGCAUGUUCUUUUAUCCUAAAAUAAGAAUUUUUUUUUACACUAAAAUUCUCGAUUUUGGUCAUAGAAAAAAUGACGUGAAUGAUUUUUUUUUUUCCUGGUAAAAUAUGACAUUUUUAACAUACUUUACUAUGGCAUUGUGAUCAGACUAUACUAUUACAUGUUUUUUCAUCCUAAAAUCAGAAUUUUUUUUUUACACUAAAAUUUGAACUUUUGGUCAUAGUAAACUAUGACGUUUUUUUUCCAGACUCAAAUUUGAAUUUUUUGUUUGCUGAUAAAAUAUGACAUUUUUAACAUACUUUACUAUGGCAUUUUGAUCAGACUAUUCUUUUGCAUGUUCUUUUAUCCUAAAAUCAGAAAAAAAAAUUUACACUAAAAUUUGAAAUUUUGGUCAUAGUAUACUAUGACGUUUUUUUUUUUCCAGACUCAGAUAAGAUUUUUUUUUUUCCUGGUAAAAUGACAUUUUUAACAUAUUUUACUAUGGCAUUGUAAUCAGACUAUACUAUUACAUGUUUUUUCAUCCUAAAAUCAGAAAUUUUUUUUUACACUAAAAUUUGAACUUUUGGUCAUAGUAUACUAUGACGUUUUUUUUUUUUCAGACUCAAAUUUGAAUUUUUUCGUUCAGGUUUAGAUAUGACAUUUUUAACAAACUAUACUAUGGCAUUUUGAUCAAACUAUACUAUGGCAUGUUUUUUCAUCCUAAAAUCACAAUUUUUUUUUACACUAAAAUUUGAAAUUUUGGUCAUAGUAUACUAUGACGUUAUUGUUCCAGACUAAAAUUUGAAUUUUUUUUUAAAUGCUUAAAUGUGACAUUUUUAACAUCCUAUACUAUGGCAUUGUGAUCAGACAAUACUACUGCAUAUUUUUUCAUCCUAAAAUCAGAAUUUUUUUUUACACUAAAAUUUGAAAUUUUGGUCAUAGUAUACUAGGACGUUUUUUUUUUCCAGACUCAGAUAAGAUUUUUUUUUUCCUGGUAAAAUAUGACAUUUUUAACAUAUUUUACUAUGGCAUUGUAAUCAGACUAUACUAUUACAUGUUUUUUCAUCCUAAAAUCAGAAUUUUUUUUUUUACACUAAAAUUUGAACUUUUGGUCAUAGUAUACCAUGACGUUUUUUUUUUCCAGACUCAAAUUUGAAUUUUUUGGUUAAGGUUUAAAUAUGACAUUUUUAACAUACUUUACUAUGGCAUUUUGAUCAAACUAUACUAUGGCAUGUUUUUUCAUCCUAAAAUCACAAUUUUUUUUUUUUUACACUAAAAUUUGAAAUUUUGGUCAUAGUAUACUAUGACGUUAUUGUUCCAGACUAAAAUUUGAAUUUUUUUUUAAAUGCUUAAAUGUGACAUUUUUAACAUCCUAUACUAUGGCAUUGUGAUCAGACAUUACUAUUGCAUAUUUUUUCAUCCUAAAAUCAGAAUUUUUUUUUUUACACUAAAAUUCUAAAUUUUUGUCAGAGUAUACUAUGACGUUUUUUUUUUUCCAGACUCAGAUAAGAUUUUUUUUUUUUCCUGGUAAAAUAUGACAUUUUUAACAUACUUUACUAUGGCAUUGUAAUCAGACUAUACUAUUACAUGUUUUUUCAUCCUAAAAUCAGAAAUUUUUUUUACACUAAAAUUUGAACUUUUGGUCAUAGUAUACUAUGACGUUUUUUUUUUUUCAGACUCAAAUUUGAAUUUUUUCGUUCAGGUUUAGAUAUGACAUUUUUAACAAACUAUACUAUGGCAUUUUGAUCAAACUAUACUAUGGCAUGUUUUUUCAUCCUAAAAUCACAAUUUUUUUUUACACUAAAAUUUGAAAUUUUGGUCAUAGUAUACUAUGACGUUAUUGUUCCAGACUAAAAUUUGAAUUUUUUUUUAAAUGCUUAAAUGUGACAUUUUUAACAUCCUAUACUAUGGCAUUGUGAUCAGACAAUACUACUGCAUAUUUUUUCAUCCUAAAAUCAGAAUUUUUUUUUACACUAAAAUUUGAAAUUUUGGUCAUAGUAUACUAUGACGUUUUUUUUCCAGACUCAGAUAAGAAUUUUUUUUUUCCUGGUAAAAUAUGACAUUUUUAACAUAUUUUACUAUGGCAUUGUAAUCAGACUAUACUAUUACAUGUUUUUUCAUCCUAAAAUCAGAAAUUUUUUUUUUACACUAAAAUUUGAACUUUUGGUCAUAGUAUACCAUGACGUUUUUUUUUUCCAGACUCAAAUUUGAAUUUUUUGGUUAAGGUUUAAAUAUGACAUUUUUAACAAACUAUACUAUGGCAUUUUGAUCAAACUAUACUAUGGCAUGUUUUUUCAUCCUAAAAUCACAAUUUUUUUUUACACUAAAAUUUGAAAUUUUGGUCAUAGUAUACUAUGACGUUAUUGUUCCAGACUAAAAUUUGAAUUUUUUUUUAAAUGCUUAAAUGUGACAUUUUUAACAUCCUAUACUAUGGCAUUGUGAUCAGACAAUACUACUGCAUAUUUUUUCAUCCUAAAAUCAGAAUUUUUUUUUACACUAAAAUUUGAAAUUUUGGUCAUAGUAUACUAUGACGUUUUUUUUCCAGACUCAGAUAAGAUUUUUUUUUUUCCUGGUAAAAUAUGACAUUUUUAACAUAUUUUACUAUGGCAUUGUAAUCAGACUAUACUAUUACAUGUUUUUUCAUCCUAAAAUCAGAAUUUUUUUUUUUACACUAAAAUUUGAACUUUUGGUCAUAGUAUACCAUGACGUUUUUUUUUUUCCAGACUCAAAUUUGAAUUUUUUGGUUAAGGUUUAAAUAUGACAUUUUUAACAUACUUUACUAUGGCAUUUUGAUCAAACUAUACUAUGGCAUGUUUUUUCAUCCUAAAAUCACAAUUUUUUUUUUUUUACACUAAAAUUUGAAAUUUUGGUCAUAGUAUACUAUGACGUUAUUGUUCCAGACUAAAAUUUGAAUUUUUUUUUAAAUGCUUAAAUGUGACAUUUUUAACAUCCUAUACUAUGGCAUUGUGAUCAGACAUUACUAUUGCAUAUUUUUUCAUCCUAAAAUCAGAAUUUUUUUUUUUACACUAAAAUUCUAAAUUUUUGUCAUAGUAUACUAUGACGUUAUUUUUUUCAGACUCAAAUUUGAAUUUUUUGUUUGCUAAUAAAAUAUGACAUUUUUUACAUCCUAUACUAUGGCAUUGUGAUAAGACUAUUCUUUUGCAUGUUCUUUUAUCCUAAAAUCAGAAUUUUUUUUUACACUAAAAUUUGAAAUUUUGGUCAUAGUAUACUAUGACGUUUUUUUUUUUCCAGACUCAAAUUUGAAUUUUUUGGUUCAGGUUUAAAUAUGACAUUUUUAACAAACUAUACUAUGGCAUUUUGAUCAAACUAUACUAUGGCAUGUUUUUUCAUCCUAAAAUCACAAUUUUUUUUUACACUAAAAUUUGAAAUUUUGGUCAUAGUAUACUAUGACGUUAUUGUUCCAGACUAAAAUUUGAAUUUUUUUUUAAAUGCUUAAAUGUGACAUUUUUAACAUCCUAUACUAUGGCAUUGUGAUCAGACAAUACUACUGCAUAUUUUUUCAUCCUAAAAUCAGAAUUUUUUUUUACACUAAAAUUUGAAAUUUUGGUCAUAGUAUACUAUGACGUUUUUUUUCCAGACUCAGAUAAGAAUUUUUUUUUUCCUGGUAAAAUAUGACAUUUUUAACAUAUUUUACUAUGGCAUUGUAAUCAGACUAUACUAUUACAUGUUUUUUCAUCCUAAAAUCAGAAAUUUUUUUUUUACACUAAAAUUUGAACUUUUGGUCAUAGUAUACCAUGACGUUUUUUUUUUCCAGACUCAAAUUUGAAUUUUUUGGUUAAGGUUUAAAUAUGACAUUUUUAACAAACUAUACUAUGGCAUUUUGAUCAAACUAUACUAUGGCAUGUUUUUUCAUCCUAAAAUCACAAUUUUUUUUUACACUAAAAUUUGAAAUUUUGGUCAUAGUAUACUAUGACGUUAUUGUUCCAGACUAAAAUUUGAAUUUUUUUUUAAAUGCUUAAAUGUGACAUUUUUAACAUCCUAUACUAUGGCAUUGUGAUCAGACAAUACUACUGCAUAUUUUUUCAUCCUAAAAUCAGAAUUUUUUUUUACACUAAAAUUUGAAAUUUUGGUCAUAGUAUACUAUGACGUUUUUUUUCCAGACUCAGAUAAGAUUUUUUUUUUUCCUGGUAAAAUAUGACAUUUUUAACAUAUUUUACUAUGGCAUUGUAAUCAGACUAUACUAUUACAUGUUUUUUCAUCCUAAAAUCAGAAUUUUUUUUUUACACUAAAAUUUGAACUUUUGGUCAUAGUAUACCAUGACGUUUUUUUUUUCCAGACUCAAAUUUGAAUUUUUUGGUUAAGGUUUAAAUAUGACAUUUUUAACAUACUUUACUAUGGCAUUUUGAUCAAACUAUACUAUGGCAUGUUUUUUCAUCCUAAAAUCACAAUUUUUUUUUUUUACACUAAAAUUUGAAAUUUUGGUCAUAGUAUACUAUGACGUUAUUGUUCCAGACUAAAAUUUGAAUUUUUUUUUAAAUGCUUAAAUGUGACAUUUUUAACAUCCUAUACUAUGGCAUUGUGAUCAGACAUUACUAUUGCAUAUUUUUUCAUCCUAAAAUCAGAAUUUUUUUUUUACACUAAAAUUCUAAAUUUUUGUCAUAGUAUACUAUGACGUUAUUUUUUUCAGACUCAAAUUUGAAUUUUUUGUUUGCUAAUAAAAUAUGACAUUUUUUACAUCCUAUACUAUGGCAUUGUGAUAAGACUAUUCUUUUGCAUGUUCUUUUAUCCUAAAAUCAGAAUUUUUUUUUACACUAAAAUUUGAAAUUUUGGUCAUAGUAUACUAUGACGUUUUUUUUUUCCAGACUCAAAUUUGAAUUUUUUGGUUCAGGUUUAAAUAUGACAUUUUUAACAAACUAUACUAUGGCAUUUUGAUCAAACUAUACUAUGGCAUGUUUUUUCAUCCUAAAAUCACAAUUUUUUUUUACACUAAAAUUUGAAAUUUUGGUCAUAGUAUACUAUGACGUUAUUGUUCCAGACUAAAAUUUGAAUUUUUUUUUAAAUGCUUAAAUGUGACAUUUUUAACAUCCUAUACUAUGGCAUUGUGAUCAGACAAUACUACUGCAUAUUUUUUCAUCCUAAAAUCAGAAUUUUUUUUUACACUAAAAUUUGAAAUUUUGGUCAUAGUAUACUAUGACGUUUUUUUUCCAGACUCAGAUAAGAUUUUUUUUUUUCCUGGUAAAAUAUGACAUUUUUAACAUAUUUUACUAUGGCAUUGUAAUCAGACUAUACUAUUACAUGUUUUUUCAUCCUAAAAUCAGAAUUUUUUUUUUUACACUAAAAUUUGAACUUUUGGUCAUAGUAUACCAUGACGUUUUUUUUUUUCCAGACUCAAAUUUGAAUUUUUUGGUUAAGGUUUAAAUAUGACAUUUUUAACAUACUUUACUAUGGCAUUUUGAUCAAACUAUACUAUGGCAUGUUUUUUCAUCCUAAAAUCACAAUUUUUUUUUUUUUACACUAAAAUUUGAAAUUUUGGUCAUAGUAUACUAUGACGUUAUUGUUCCAGACUAAAAUUUGAAUUUUUUUUUAAAUGCUUAAAUGUGACAUUUUUAACAUCCUAUACUAUGGCAUUGUGAUCAGACAUUACUAUUGCAUAUUUUUUCAUCCUAAAAUCAGAAUUUUUUUUUUUACACUAAAAUUCUAAAUUUUUGUCAUAGUAUACUAUGACGUUAUUUUUUUCAGACUCAAAUUUGAAUUUUUUGUUUGCUAAUAAAAUAUGACAUUUUUUACAUCCUAUACUAUGGCAUUGUGAUAAGACUAUUCUUUUGCAUGUUCUUUUAUCCUAAAAUCAGAAUUUUUUUUUACACUAAAAUUUGAAAUUUUGGUCAUAGUAUACUAUGACGUUUUUUUUUUUCCAGACUCAAAUUUGAAUUUUUUGGUUCAGGUUUAAAUAUGACAUUUUUAACAAACUAUACUAUGGCAUUUUGAUCAAACUAUACUAUCGCAUGUUCUUUUAUCCUAAAAUCACAAUUUUUUUUUUUACACUAAAAUUUAAAAUUUUGGUCAUAGUAUACUAUGACGUUUUUUAUAUCCUGACUAAAUUUGAAUUUUUUUUUAAAGCCUAAAAUGUGAAAAAAGAUUAACACCCAAAUAUGACAUUUUUAUCAUCCUAUACUAUGACAUCUUUUUUUUAUCAUAGUUUAUUUUUUCUUUAAUUUUAUUCUUUUAUCAUUCUGAACUAUGAUUUUUAAAAUAUCCUAUACUAUGUGUUUUUUUUAACCCACUAUACCAUGGAGCGGCAGUAGCUCAGGAGAUGGAGCGGUCGUCCAAUAACUGGAAGGUUGCUGGUUUAGAUUCCUUCCAUCCUGAGGCCUUCAUCAUGUCCUUGUGCGAGGCACUGAACCUACCUUGCUCCUCGCGUGUGUCCUCCACUGGUGUGCAAUUGUACGCAUUGUGCGGUGGCGGUUGGAGAGGCUGUAGGCGUGAACUGGUGGCCAGCUGCAACUACUACGGUAGUUAACCAUUAUGAGGGUGUGACUGUGUGAGCAUUUCUCCAACUGCGAUCUCUUUCUGAUGCUAACCUAAUUAAAUGACUAAAACUGAAGACUGAGGUUUUGCACAAACACUGGUUCUCAUUUCUCUGACUGCUGCUGCUGCUUCAGGGGGAGACUUUCAUCCCAGUGAAGGAUAAAAUGGAUCAAAAUAAAACCUCACGGUGGAAAAUCAAACCUUGUAUAUCCUUUUUCUUUCAACCUCUCCAACCUUGUACUCAGUCACAUUGUUACAGAGCCGAUUCCCUGCCUCUGCUAAUGUUGGUGAAGGGCGUUUCAUGCAUACUGAACAUAUUUACAUUUCAAAACACUCUGGCUCCACAAAAAAAACCUCUUGAGACCAAGGCAAACUGAACUGGUAACAGGCAUUUUACUGGUGAAGAGAGGGCAAAAGGCUGCUGGAUCAUACUACAGUAUGAGAUUUUUUAUCACACUAUAUUUUGACUUAUUUUUUGACUUACAAUACUUUUACGUUUAUUUUAAUACUAAAAUAUUUAAAAAAUGCACUAAAAUAUGACAUUUUUAUCAUACUAUACUAUGACUUUUUUCAUACUAAAAUAUAAAAUUCUUUCACACUAAAAUAUUUAAUUUUUAAUAUACUUUACUAUGACAUUCAUUUUCAUUCUAAAAUAUUUUUAAAAAAAUGCACACUAAUUUAUUAUAUUUUUAUCGUACUAUACUAUGACAAUUUUCCCACUAAAAUAUGAAAUUUUCACAUAUUUUAUUAUGACAUUAUUAUCAUAUUAUACUAUGAAAUUUAUUUUCAUAGAAAUAUAUUUGUAAAAAUCACACUGAAUUAUGCAUUUUUUAUCAAACUAAUUGGAUGACAUUUUUUCAUCUUAAACGUGCUUUUUUCAUACUAAAAUGUAAAAAAAUUCACACUUAACUAUGAAAUUUUUAGCAAACUAUACUAUGACAUUUUUAUUAAACUAUACUAUAACAUUUUUAUUAAACUAUACUAUGACAUUUUUAUUAAACUAUACUAUAACAUUUUUAUUAAACUAUACUAUAACAUUUUUAUUAAACUAUACUAUGACAUUUUUAUUAAACUAUACUAUGACUUUUUCAUUGUAAAAUAUUUUUUAAAAAUUUACACUAAAAUAUUAAAUUUUUAUCAUACUAUACUGACAUUUUUAUCAUACUAUUCUAUGACAUGUUUCUCAUUCUGUAGUAUGAUAUUUUUUUAACAUACUAUGACAUUUAUUAUACUAUAGCAUCUUUUACUACUUCUUACAUACUAUACUAUGAAAUUUUUUUAUCAUGAUAUACCAUGACAUUUUUAUCACACUUUAAUUUAAUAUGACGUUUUUUUAACCUACUUAACUAUGACAAUUUUAAACAUACUAUACUAUGACACUUAUUCAGUACGGAGGGCAUUUCAUGUAUAUAGAACAUAUUUACAUUUCAAAACACGCUUCAGACCAAGGCGAACUGAACAAGAGAGACGGGAAAAAGCAUUUCACAGGCAAAGAAAGGAAGCGAGGCUGCCCCCAGGGGACGGGAUAUUAACACAGCAGAAUAACACAGGAAACAGUUAGCAGCUGUACAUAUAUAUUUAAUUUAUAUACAGAUUUAAAGGCCUAAUGUCAUAAUGGAGCCAGGAUAUCCUUCCUUCAAAAGAAGCACUCAUGAAUAAUAAUAAUAAUAAUAAUAAUAAUAGACACAAUAGGCAGCAGAGAUAGGCUUCAUUCAGAAAUGUGACAUCAAUCCCAAAGGACACUGUUCAGGCGGUCACACAUCUUUCCUUCUGAAUACACAAUUAUUGCAAUUGAAACAGUCAGCCUUAAGAAAUAAAAAAAUAAAAAAACUCUUUAAUGUCGGAGUCGAAUUUUUUAACCCCCGAGACAUUUGGAAUAAAAUGGAAAAAGGAAAUAUAAUACACAACCCUCACAGCUCACGCAUUAGCAUGACAAGCAAUUAUAUUUCUAUUAACUCGCCGUUAGCCGAGUUUUACGGCUGUUAUUGACUGAACUGGAGAACAUCCUUGACCAAUUCACAAAAGGCUGUCACUGGUUAUUCAUCAACAGCGCUGAUGGAAACCUCGGAGAAGUAAGGAAGAGGAGCAGGAAGCGUUAACGACGAGUCUGGAGGCCGGGGCGAGAGGGAGUCGCGUUGAAGUACUUAAAGAGAGAAAAGAAACCAGCGCGGAGCGGGAUCUGAAGGUCAGAGGGCGAGUGUAGAGUUCUCUAAACCUGCAGGAACAAUGACGGAAGUGUUCAGAAACUUCAGUUCCUCAGGGGGGACUAAAACAGCUGGUGCUGCUGGAGGUCAAAGUUCAUCUUUACAGCGUACAAUCUGCUGCACACAACUCUGUUUUCAUCCUCAUUUCUUUAUUCGUACAAACUGUGCGUGGGUUAAAGAGCAUCAGAGACUCGACAUGUACUUAUAGAGCGAAAUAAAGACACAUCACUCUGACGCUGUUAUCUGAAUUCAUACACAAGGAUGAAGACACGACCAUGUACCGAAAAAUGUCAGCAAACAUCGGAAGCGUAGAUGCCAGGAUGUCCUUCUACUUUAUGUUGUACACGGCGGCAUGUAUGAAACAUGUUUAUACCCUCCUCUGACUAACCAUAAUCCUUUAUUCAGGGAGGAGACCAGGCAUUGACCCAGCUGCCAGGAGAGAUAACGGAGCGAGGCCUCAGCCUGAUGGAUGAGCCGGCCAGAAGGUCAGAGUCCACGGCCAGCUGAUGUGACGAAAGAAAGUCUGCUCUUCACAUGGAAAGCUGCUCAGAAUGUAAAGAGACAUCCAAUUUUUAC